AGGAAUUGGCGGGGGAGCACCACAAGGGGUGAAGCCUGCGGUUCAAUUGGAGUCAACGCCGGGAAUCUUACCGGGGGCGACAGCAGAGUGAAGGUCAAGCUGAAGACUUUACCAGACAAGCUGAGAGGAGGUGCAUGGCCGUCGCCAGCUCGUGCCGUGAGGUGUCCUGUUAAGUCAGGUAACGAGCAAGAUCCCUGUCUCUAGUUGCUACCACUGCUCUCAGGAGCAGAGGGGCUAAUUAGAGGGACCGCCGCCGCUGAGGCGGAGGAAGGAGGGGGCUACGGCAGGUCAGUAUGCCCCGAAACCCUCGGGCCACACGCGGGCUGCAAUGGUAAGGACAGCGGGCCCCGAUCCCGAAAGGGGGAGGCAAUCCCUCAAACCUUACCACAGUUAUGAUUGAGGGCUGAAACUCGCCCUCAUGAAUAUGGAAUCCCUAGUAACCGCGUGUCAACGUCGCGCGGUGAAUACGUCCCUGCUCCUUGCACACACCGCCCGUC
rnacentral:rRNA from 1 species